rnacentral:rRNA from 1 species
GUCGCACGAGAAAGUGGAGCAAUCCAUGAGUAAAGUGGCGCACGGGUGAGUAACACGUGACUAACCUACCCUCGAGUGGGGAAUAACUUCGGGAAACCGAGGCUAAUACCGCAUAACACUUACGAGUCAAAGCAGCAAUGCGCUUGAGGAGGGGGUCGCGGCAGAUUAGCUAGUUGGUGAGGUAAUGGCUCACCAAGGCGAUGAUCUGUAUCCGGCCUGAGAGGGCGCACGGACACACUGGAACUGAAACACGGUCCAGACUCCUACGGGAGGCAGCAGUGGGGAAUUUUGCGCAAUGGGGGAAACCCUGACGCAGCAACGCCGCGUGGAGGAUGAAAUCCCUUGGGAUGUAAACUCCUUUCGAUCGGGACGAUUAUGACGGUACCGGAAGAAGAAGCCCCGGCUAACUUCGUGCCAGCAGCCGCGGUAAUACGAGGGGGGCGAGCGUUGUUCGGAAUUAUUGGGCGUAAAGGGUGCGUAGGCGGUUUGAUAAGUCUGAUGUGAAAUCUAUGGGCUCAACCCAUAGUCUGCAUUAGAAACUGUCGGGCUUGAGUAUGGGAGAGGUGAGUGGAAUUUCCGGUGUAGCGGUGAAAUGCGUAGAUAUCGGAAGGAACACCUGUGGCGAAAGCGGCUCACUGGACCAUUACUGACGCUGAUGCACGAAAGCUAGGGGAGCAAACAGGAUUAGAUACCCUG